AGUGGAAUGUGCCAUUACCAUUCACCUCAUUCAUUUUUGGGUGAUUGAGAAUGUUUAUCAGUUUAACUAAAGGUUCUAUAGCUUACUAUUCUAUUCUUACAUUAGAAAGUCUCAUUCCACAAUAAUAGUUAUACGAUUGGAUCCUUUGCAAUGCUCUUUUUCGUAUAUAAGCUGGUGAUUUUUCACCUUGUAAAGGAAUGUACAUGCUUUUUCUUUUAUGAUGAAAAGUAAUGCUUACAAACUUAUGUUUUUGCUCCUUAUGCAGCUCGGCAUUGGAACUGUCCCAGUGCUUCUGCAAAAGCUCGGCAUUGGAACUGUCCCAGUGCUUCUGCAAAAGUUGCUUCAAUAACUGUGAUGAGCUCACUGCAAUUGGUCAUCACGGUUGCCACUAUAGGAUGACUAGCGAGCGGUUGAAGUGGAGAAGGCAGCACAGGCAGCACAUACUCCAUUGAUCUCUUGUGUGAUUUUGGUAUUGGGUGGAUCUUGGCUCGAGAAAUAUGAGUCAAUUUGAUGGGAUGAGCUGCAAUUUGUUAGGCUCGAGAAAUAUCAAUUGAUUCAUGAGCUCCAGCUGAAUUUUCGCGGAGAACGCUUUUGCGGCGAGGUUGAGCCAGCAACCACGCAGGGUGACCUGAGAAAGUUGCAUAUGGAGUAGUAGAUAAGGCCAGAUACUGCACUUCUCUUCCUGUUUGGAUUUACCAAGCACCUAUUUUUUGUGUACAGACCACAAUUAUUUUUUAGUGGAUUAAUUGUGAAUGCUUAUUCUAGCACAUGAUACUAAAUAGGUGUAUCUAUGAUUUAUGAUUUUCUCAUUUGCUUUGCCUUCCUUCCCUGACUAAGUGUCACUUGAUAAAUUCUUUUCCAUUAUAUGCCAAGCAAGUUGUCUCCCUCUGUUGUGCAUAUUGAUCAAAUGGAACACGAGUCACAAGAAGCUUCAACAUUGAUAGAUCAUUAUUAUGAUUUCCAAAGGUGGUCUCUUGUUUCAAAUUUGGAGAUAUGAUUACCAUGGAGAUUGGAUGAUUUCAUUACAGACAUAUCUCGAUAUUAGGGAGUCCUGGUUUUAAUUUGAACACAACUGAAAAUAAUGCAGGCAUAGGUAAUCCAGUUUAGUUUGAUUAUCAUUUUGGAGUAUGUACUUGUUUAGCUCCUCUUGGGCAGUUUUGGCGCCGCACGCAAAUUUAUUUGUGCAAGCUUAGCUUCGCUCUCAUUUCAUUUACUGCCCAAAGCUCUACUUCUAUAUUCAUUGACCGCUCAUAGACCUAUUAAAAUUAUGUUGGAUAUUACAACCAAAAGAUCUAUAAUUAAAUAUAACAUAACUAUCUUAUUGAACUAAAGUCAAGCGGGUUCAAAGAUAAAAUAUAAAAUCUAACUUAUUCGUGCAAUGCAGUUUCAAACCUACAACUAAUGCAAAACUAUCAUUUGUCAGGUGAUUUGUUCUUAUUUUUUUGUCAGGUGAUUCUGCUGUCGUGGCGGAAGCAGCAUCCGUGCAAGUCGCGGGCGCAGGUGUGUGGCCUGUGCGUGGAGAUCGUGGAGGGCGCGAAUGUCAUGGCAGUGUGAAGAUAGUGCCCUUGCUGGUGGUGUCGACGAUGGUGUCCUCGGUGGUGGGUAUAUAUGGCAGUGAUUCUGCUGUCGCGGUAGAGGCAGCAGCCGAGCAAGCGGGUCUCCCUUAGCCAAUGGCGAGCAUGGUAGGGGCGUGUAGGCGGACCAUCUAGCGAGCCUGUGCCACCACAUGUUCCACUAAGUAGGUCAUGGCCGCGCGAUGUUGAUGUGUUUCGAGUGUUUGACUCUUUUUUUUUAUAUGUUGCAAGCCCAUAUUUCAAGUGUUUCA